AUAUUAAUUGAGGGGUGACCCUCAACUGACAUACAAGGGGAGGUUUCGGCCAAAUGUUGUAUGCAGAAAGCGUGAGGAAGGUAGCACUUAGACACUCACGAGUAGCGGUUCGGCAGUAGUGCUAAAAUGACGAACCAA
ncrna:unclassified sequences IMES-2 RNA motif